AGAGUUUGAUCAUGGCUCAGGACGAACGCUGGCGGCGUGCUUAACACAUGCAAGUCUUACGAGAAAGGGGUAGCAAUAUCCCGAGUACAGUGGCGCACGGGUGAGUAACACGUAGGCAAUCUGCCUUUAGGACGGGGACAACCUCGAGAAAUCGAGGCUAAUACCCGAUAAUGCAGCGGCACCGCAUGGUGAUUGUUGUUAAAGGCCCGCAAGGGCGCCUAUUGAUGAGCCUGCGUCCCAUUAGGUAGUUGGUGAGGUAACGGCCCACCAAGCCAACGAUGGGUAGCUGGUCUGAGAGGAUGGUCAGCCACACUGGGACUGAGAUACGGCCCAGACUCCUACGGGAGGCAGCAGUCGAGAGGCUUCGGCAAUGGGGGAAACCCUGACCGAGCGACGCCGCGUGGAGGAUGAAGGCCCUUGGGUUGUAAACUCCUUUCGUGGGGGAAGAAUGUAUUCGGGGUGAAUAAUCCCGAGUAUUGACGGUACCUCAAGAAGAAGCUCCGGCUAACUCCGUGCCAGCAGCCGCGGUAAUACGGGGGGAGCAAGCGUUGUUCGGAAUCACUGGGCGUAAAGGGCGUGUAGGCGGUUCGGUAAGUGGGAUGUGAAAUGCCCCGGCUCACCCGGGGACCGGCAUCCCAAACUGCUGAGCUUGAGUACAGGAGAGGGUGGGGGAAUUCCUGGUGUAGCGGUGAAAUGCGUAGAUAUCAGGAGGAACACCGGUGGCGAAGGC
rnacentral:rRNA from 1 species